rnacentral:rRNA from 1 species
CCUACGGGUGGCAGCAGUAGGGAAUCUUUCACAAUGGGCGAAAGCCUGAUGGAGCAACGCCGCGUGCAGGAUGAAGGCCUUCGGGUUGUAAACCGCUUUUAUAAGCGAGAAAUAUGAUGGUAACUUAUGAAUAAUGAUCGUCUAACUAUGUGCCAGCAGCCGCGGUCAUACGUAGGAUCCGAGCAUUAUCCGGAGUGACUGGGGGUAAAGAGUUGCGUAGGUGGCAUAAUAAGUAGCUAGGGAAAUCUGGUGGCUCAACCAUUCAGACUAUUAGCGAAACUGUGAAGCUCGAGACCGUUAGGGGUAACGGGAAUGUCUAGUGUAGGAGUGAAAUCCGUAGAUAUUAGAAGGAACACCAAUAGCGUAGGCAGGUUGCUGGGACGGUUCUGACGCUGAGGCACGAAAGCGUAGGGAGCAAACGGGAUUAGAUACCCUUGUAGUC